GUUCCUAUGGUCUAGUGGUUAUGACGCUUCGUUGUGGUUUAUAUCACAUAACGAUUAUGUAAUGAUCGAACCCGAAGCAGCCCGUGUUCGAUUCACGGUGGGGACA
rnacentral:tRNA from 1 species